rnacentral:rRNA from 1 species
UGGGCAACCUGCCCUCAGCUCUGGGAUAACUCCAAGAAAUUGGGGCUAAUACCGGAUAUGACCGCUGACCGCAUGGUCUGGUGGUGGAAAGAUUUAUCGGCUGGGGAUGGGCCCGCGGCCUAUCAGCUUGUUGGUGGGGUAGUGGCCUACCAAGGCGACGACGGGUAGCCGGCCUGAGAGGGUGACCGGCCACACUGGGACUGGAGACGACCGGCCAGCUCCGACGGG